UACGUAGGGUGCUAGCGUUGUUCGGAAUCAUUGGGCGUAAAGCGCGUGUAGGCGGUUAGUUAAGUCGGGUGUGAAAUCCCUGGGCUCAACCGAGGAAGUGCAUCCGAAACUGAUUGGCUAGAAAACGGUAGAGGAAGGUGGAAUUCCAAGUGUAGAGGUGAAAUUCGUAGAUAUUUGGAGGAAUACCGGUGGCGAAGGCGGCCUUCUGGACCGUUCUUGACGCUGAGACGCGAAAGCGUGGGGAGCAAACAGG
rnacentral:rRNA from 1 species